rnacentral:rRNA from 1 species
UACGUAGGGCGCAAGCGUUGUCCGGAAUUAUUGGGCGUAAAGAGCUCGUAGGCGGCUUGUCACGUCGGAUGUGAAAGCCCGGGGCUUAACCCCGGGUCUGCAUUCGAUACGGGCAGGCUAGAGUGUGGUAGGGGAGAUCGGAAUUCCUGGUGUAGCGGUGGAAUGCGCAGAUAUCAGGAAGAACACCCGUGGCGAAGGCGGCUCUCUGGAGCGCAACUGACGCUGAGACGCGAAAGCGUGGGGAGCAAACAGG